UAGGGAAUCUUCGGCAAUGGGGGGAACCCUGACCGAGCAACGCCGCGUGAGUGAAGAAGGUUUUCGGAUCGUAAAGCUCUGUUGUUAAGGAAGAACGAGUGUGAGAAUGGAAAGUUCAUGCUGUGACGGUACUUAACCAGAAAGGGACGGCUAACUACGUGCCAGCAGCCGCGGUAAUACGUAGGUCCCGAGCGUUGUCCGGAUUUAUUGGGCGUAAAGCGAGCGCAGGCGGUUAGAUAAGUCUGAAGUUAAAGGCAGUGGCUCAACCAUUGUAGGCUUUGGAAACUGUUUAACUUGAGUGGAGAAGGGGGGAGUGGAAUUCCAUGUGUAGCGGUGAAAUGCGUAGCUAUAUGAAGGAACACCGGUGGCGAAAGCGGCUCUCUGGUCUGUAACUGACGCAGAGGCUCGAAAGCGUGGGGAGCGAACAGG
rnacentral:rRNA from 1 species